rnacentral:rRNA from 1 species
AGGACGAACGCUGGCGGCGUGCCUAACACAUGCAAGUCGAACGGGGGUAGCAAUACCCUAGUGGCGAACGGGUGAGUAACACAUAAGCAAUCUGCCCUUCACAGGGGGAUAACAGCGGGAAACUGCUGCUAAUACCGCAUAAGACCACGGUACCGCAUGGUACAGGGGUAAAAACGAAUCAGUGGUGAAGGAUGAGCUUAUGUCCCAUUAGCUAGUUGGUGAGAUAACAGCCCACCAAGGCGACGAUGGGUAGCCGACCUGAGAAGGUGAUCGGCCACACUGGAACUGAGACACGGUCCAGACUCCUACGGGAGGCAGCAGUGGGGAAUAUUGGGCAAUGGAGGAAAAACCUCUUACCCAGCAAUGCCGCGUGAGUGAAGAAGGUCUUCGGAUUGUAAAGCUCUUUGAUUGGGGACGAAGAAAGUGACGGUACCCAAAGAACAAGCCCCGGCUAACUACGUGCCAGCAGCCGC